rnacentral:tRNA from 1 species
UCCGGAGUAGCUCAGGGGUAGAGCGGCGCUCUGUUAAGGCGUGGGUCGGUGGUUCGAGACCAUCCUCCGGAG